UACAGAGGUCUCAAGCGUUGUUCGGAUUCAUUGGGCGUAAAGGGUGCGUAGGCGGCGCGGUAAGUCGGGUGUGAAAUCCCGGGGCUCAACCCCGGAACUGCAUUGGAUACUGCCUUGCUCGAGUACUGGAGAGGGAACUGGAAUUUACGGUGUAGCAGUGAAAUGCGUAGAGAUCGUAAGGAAGGCCAGUGGCGAAGGCGAGUUCCUGGACAGCUACUGACGCUGAGGCACGAAGGCCAGGGGAGCAAACGGG
rnacentral:rRNA from 1 species